UGGAUGGUAAAUGCUUGCAAUUCAAGUUUCAACAUAAAAUAUCAAGAAUGCACCUAAAUGAAAAUAAAUUCGAAACUCAAAAAUGGUAGACCCCAAGGACUAUUGUGAGUAAUGGUUGGAAAGUUCUUGAAAUAAGGAACAGAAAAGUAAUAUUGGGCAAAAAAUCAUUCGGCAUGUGCAAAUUGAUCAAAACUUUCUUGGAAAGUCCAAGUGUAAAACAUGUUCAAAUCAUUUUGAAAAAG
rnacentral:lncRNA from 1 species